rnacentral:siRNA from 1 species
UUCUCACUUUCAGGCACCCCAA